CAGUCGCCGCGGGAAUACGAAGGGUGCAAGCGUUAAUCGGAAUUACUGGGCGUAAAGCGUGCGUAGGCGGUGAGCUAAGUCUGCUGUGAAAUCCCCGGGCUCAACCUGGGAAUGGCAGUGGAUACUGGCUCGCUAGAGUGUGUCAGAGGAUGGCGGAAUUCCCGGUGUAGCGGUGAAAUGCGUAGAGAUCGGGAGGAACAUCAGUGGCGAAGGCGGCCAUCUGGGACAACACUGACGCUGAGGCACGAAAGCGUGGGGAGCAAACAGGAUUAGAUACCCCUGUAGUCCCUGUCUCUUAUAC
rnacentral:rRNA from 1 species